UUUGAAUCAAGACUUAUA
rnacentral:snRNA from 1 species